GAUGAACGCUGGCGGCGUGCCUAAUACAUGCAAGUCGAGCGAACAGACGAGGAGCUUGCUCCUCUGACGUUAGCGGCGGACGGGUGAGUAACACGUGGAUAACCUACCUAUAAGACUGGGAUAACUUCGGGAAACCGGAGCUAAUACCGGAUAAUAUAUUGAACCGCAUGGUUCAAUAGUGAAAGACGGUUUUGCUGUCACUUCUAGAUGGAUCCGCGCCGCAUUAGCUAGUUGGUAAGGUAACGGCUUACCAAGGCAACGAUGCGUAGCCGACCUGAGAGGGUGAUCGCCCACACUGGAACUGAGACACGGUCCAGACUCCUACGGGAGGCAGCAGUAGGGAAUCUUCCGCAAUGGGCGAAAGCUUGACGGAGCAACGCCGCGUGAGUGAUGAAGGUCUUCGGAUCGUAAAACUCUGUUAUUAGGGAAGAACAAAUGUGUAAGUAACUAUGCACGUCUUGACGGUGCCUAAUCAGAAAGCCACGGCUAACUACGUG
rnacentral:rRNA from 1 species